rnacentral:snRNA from 1 species
UCACUCUGGCUUCUCUUCAACGUAUGAUUCUUUCGCCUUUGACUAAAGAAUUCCGUGGAAAGGAGCAGUUCAAUGAGUCUUG